rnacentral:misc_RNA from 1 species
UUACUUCAUUUGAAUGUUUUAAAUGAAGCGACCUUCAUAAUAGCAGCUUUGGAAAAUAAAAAAGCCUGUUGAGAUUGGGAACAAGGAAAAGUCGCUCGCGCAUUCUAGGACAUACUUUAUACAGCUAUAUUGAUGACGGUUCGAAAUCAAAUACCAAAUGGUGUUGACGUUAGUGUUGCAAUAGAAAAGGAGAAAGAAGAGAAGAAGAAAUGAAAUGAAAUGAAAUGAAAUGAAAGAAAGAAAUGGAGUGUUGCCUGUUGGGAGGGAGGAUGUGAGGGAGCUGAGGGAUGUGAGCCUGAGGAGAUGCUUUGGGAUAGUAGAUGUUGCUAUGUGUGUUUGUCUGGAGUGUUUUUAAGAAGACGUGGCGGAGUAGUCGGAGGGAUUAGCACUUCCAUUUCUGGAGUGUGGGUAUUAUCUUUGUUGGUUCUAAUACUUAGUUUAUUGUCAUUGCCAGUUGGAUCGGGUAAUGGAAAAAAUGCUUGUUCCUCGCGCUCGACUCCAAAGCCUCGACUGCCAGUGCAUUCCGCCAUGCGCCCCAAUAUAACGUUUGAGACGUACGCCUGCCCGCCCGCGUACGCUGCUUGGUAUUGUCUGAAUGGAGCCACUUGCUUCACUCUCAAAAUAGCAGAGUCCAUCCUCUACAACUGCGAAUGUGCUGAUGGAUACAUGGGUCAACGAUGCGAGUUUAAAGAUCUUGACGGUUCAUAUUUACGUUGGAGUACCACUGGAUGAUUGUCAGGCGAAGUGGAAAAGCAUAUAAGAGAUGAAUUUGUCCGAUAAUUAAAAAAGUGUAAGAGAGGAAGGAGCGGGGAUGCUGGCCAUUGUAUAGAUCUGCAUGGACCCUGUUUCUACUUAUGUAGUUCUUGGGAUAUUCUAUAAAACAUAGAUAAGUACAAUUCAGUGUGAUUCCGAUGAAAUCUUCGGUCAACAUUUGGCCGCAACAGUCAAACAUCUCUUUGCGAGUCAGAAAUGUUGUACUAUCAAUCAAAUAAAGAAUUUAUUAUUUGAGGCAGAAUGUGUAGAAGAACUUACCUCAUGACUUUCUCUACAGAAAUUAAACUAUAUAUUUAUUUAAUAAAAUAUAAUAUUUCUAAUAAA